CAGAAUGCCAUCAUCUCCCAAGGAGAGGGUGAUAUACUAAUGGGGGCCCCAGUUUUAAAUCUGGGUGCCUGGAUCUGACCAGUCCCGGAUUUGGACAUUUAAACCCUUGUAGGGAAGCAUGCAGAUGCUAGUCAGAUCUCAGUAGAAAGGUUAUCUCCAAUACCAGGAAUGCCCUCUUCCUCACUUCUGCCUCUUGGAAUCUCCAGCUACUUUCAAGACUGGGCUCAAGAGACUCCUCCUGGCUCCCACAUUUCAUGAUUCCCUCCCUCUCCAGUGUCGGUGUUUUCUCCCCGACCUCAUUUUGCAGUUACUUUGUAUAAUUACUUUCUAUGUGUAUAUUUUGUACCUGUUGUUGCCUCUCUCCUCCUAAUAGAAUGGAACAUACUUGAA